AACGAACGCUGGCGGCAGGCCUAACACAUGCAAGUCGAGCGAAGCCUUCGGGCUUAGCGGCGGACGGGUGAGUAACGCGUGGGAACGUGCAAUUUGGUACGGAAUAGCCCCGGGAAACUGGGAGUAAUACCGUAUGUGGUCGAGAGACGAAAGAUUUAUCGCACAAAGGAUCGGCCCGCGUUUGAUUAGGUAGUUGGUUGGGUAAUGGCCUACCAAGCCGAAGCUCCAUAGCUGGUUUGAGAGGAUGAUCAGCCACACUGGUACUAAGACACGGACCAGAAUCAUAAGGGAGGCAGCAAUGUGGACUCCUAGACAAUGGGGGAAACCCUGAUCUAGCCAGGCCGCGUGCUCGAUGAAGGCCUUAGGGUUGUAAAGCUCUUUCAGUGGGUAAGAUAAUGACUGUACCCACAGAAGAAGCCCCGGCUACCUCCGUGCCAGCCGCCGCCGUAAGAC
rnacentral:rRNA from 1 species